rnacentral:rRNA from 1 species
AAUGAACGCUGGCGGCAGGCCUAACACAUGCAAGUCGAGCGCCUCGCAAGGGGAGCGGCAGACGGGUGAGUAACGCGUGGGAACGUGCCCUUCGGUUCGGAAUAACUCAGGGAAACUUGAGCUAAUACCGGAUACGUGCGUAAGCAGAAAGAUUUAUCGCCGAAGGAGCGGCCCGCGUCCGAUUGGCUAGUUGGUGAGGUAACGGCUCACCAAGGCGACGAUCGGUAGCUGGUCUGAGAGGAUGAUCAGCCACACUGGGACUGAGACACGGCCCAGAUUCCGACGGGAGGCAGAAGGGGGAAGAUUGGACAAUGGGCGCAAGCCUGAUCCAGCCAUGCCGCGUGAGUGAUGAAGGCCCUAGGGUUGUAAAGCUCUUUCGCCAGGGACGAUAAUGACGGUACCUGGAUAAGAAGCCCCGGCUAACUUCGUGCCAGCCGCCGCAGUAAUAC